rnacentral:rRNA from 1 species
GACGAACGCUGGCGGCGUGCUUAACACAUGCAAGUCGAACGGAAAGGCCCUGCUUUUGUGGGGUGCUCGAGUGGCGAACGGGUGAGUAACACGUGAGUAACCUGCCCUUGACUUUGGGAUAACUUCAGGAAACUGGGGCUAAUACCGGAUAGGAGCUCCUGCUGCAUGGUGGGGGUUGGAAAGUUUCGGCGGUUGGGGAUGGACUCGCGGCUUAUCAGCUUGUUGGUGGGGUAGAGGCUUACCAAGGCUUUGACGGGUAGCCGGCCUGAGAGGGUGACCGGCCACGUGGGGACUGAGGGACGGCCCGGACUCCAAGGGGGGGAAGGGGGGGGAAAUAUGGAAAAGUGGGGGGAAGCCGAGUGCAGCACCGCCGGGUGGGGGAGGACGGCCUUGGGGUUGUAAACCUCUUUCGCUUGUGACGCGGGGGGAGGGAGGGUAGGGGAUAAGGAAGCCCGGGCUAACUACGUG